rnacentral:rRNA from 1 species
AUUGAACGCUGGCGGCAGGCCUAACACAUGCAAGUCGAAUGGUAGCACAGAGAGCUUGCUCUCGGGUGACGAGUGGCGGACGGGUGAGUAGUGUCUGGGAAACUGCCCGAUGGAGGGGGAUAACUACUGGAAACGGUAGCUAAUACCGCAUAACGUCGCAAGACCAAAGUGGGGGACCUUCGGGCCUCACACCAUCGGAUGUGCCCAGAUGGGAUUAGCUAGUAGGUGGGGUAAUGGCUCACCUAGGCGACGAUCCCUAGCUGGUCUGAGAGGAUGACCAGCCACACUGGAACUGAGACACGGUCCAGACUCCUACGGGAGGCAGCAGUGGGGAAUAUUGCACAAUGGGCGCAAGCCUGAUGCAGCCAUGCCGCGUGUAUGAAGAAGGCCCUCGGGUUGUAAAGUACUUUCAGCGGGGAGGAAGGCGGUGAAGUUAAUAACUUCACCGAUUGACGUUACCCGCAGAAGAAGCACCGGCUAACUCCGUGCCAGCCGCCGCCGUAA